rnacentral:snRNA from 1 species
AUCGCUUCUCGGCCCAAAGGCUAAGAUAAAAGUAUAGUAUCUGUUCUUAUCAGCUCAACAUCUGAUAGUUCUCCCAUAGGGAGACAAGAAAUGUUAAACUGAUUUUUGGAAAAGGGCGGAACGGUCAGCGGCUUGCUCCACUUUCUAUAAAAAAGACAUUUA